CGAAACCUUACCUGGCCUUGACAUGUAACGAACUUUCCAGAGAUGGAUUGGUGCUCGAAAGAGAACGUUAACACAGGUGCUGCAUGGCUGUCGUCAGCUCGUGUCGUGAGAUGUUGGGUUAAGUCCCGCAACGAGCGCAACCCUUGCCAUUAAUUGCCAUCAUUUAGUUGGGCACUUUAAUGGGACUGCCGGUGACAAACCGGAGGAAGGUGGGGAUGACGUCAAGUCCUCAUGGCCCUUAUGGCCAGGGCUUCACACGUAAUACAAUGGUCGGUACAGAGAGUUGCCAACCCGCGAGGGGGAGCCAAUCUCAAAAAGCCGAUCGUAGUCCGGAUUGUAGUCUGCAACUCGACUACAUGAAGUCGGAAUCGCUAGUAAUCGCGGAUCAGCAUGUCGCGGUGAAUACGUUCCCGGGCAA
rnacentral:rRNA from 1 species